GACGUAGGAGGCGAGCGUUGUCCGGAUUCAUUGGGCGUAAAGAGCACGCAGGCGGUUUGGCAAGUCGGAUGUGAAAACCCGGAGCUCAACUCCGGACCUGCAUCCGAAACUGCCCGACUAGAGGUAGGUAGGGGAGAUCGGAAUUCCUGGUGUAGCGGUGAAAUGCGAAGAUAUCAGGAGGAACACCGGUGGCGAAGGCGGAUCUCUGGGCCUUACCUGACGCUCAGGUGCGAAAGCUAGGGGAGCGAACAGG
rnacentral:rRNA from 1 species